UCCAUAGCUAGGGUUUGUUUCAAGUUUCCAAGCUCCAUAGUAAGUGAUUCCAAGCCCCGUUUUUAAUGUUCUUUACGUUUUUGGAAUCCCGGUAGCUCGAUUAAGCUUAUGUUAGCAAUAAUUCAACCUAGGGUUUAUAUUUGGAAAAAUACCCAUAGGUGAAAUUUGUGUAUUUUGAUGUUUUAUGAUAGAAUAUGGGGUUUUAAAUUAUGUUAGACAACUUGUACUACUCGAUUUUAAGCAAAAACGAGUAAAAGGGCUUAAUCGGUAAAAAUACCUAAUAGUCACAAUUACAUGUUAGAGUGAGAAUUUGAUGUUGCCAUAGAAGAGAAAAGUGAUCAGCAUGUUGUAAAACAUAAGAAUAAGGAAUAAAGUUUAAUCCCGAGCCUAGGGGCAAAAAUGUAAAUAUGCAAAAGUUUAGGGGCAAAAUUGUAAUUUUGCCAAAAUUUGAGUUAAGGAUUAAUUUGAUAAUGUGAGUAUUAAAUGAGUGUUAUUUUAGUCAAGAAAGACGUGGAAUCGACCUCAAUCGAGGAAAAGAAAAGAUUGUGGACUAAAUUGCAAAAUCUUUGUAUUUUGGUACCAAGGUAAGUUCAUGUGUAAAUAAUGUAGCAUAAUUGUUAUUUUUAAGUUAUUGAUAUUAAUUAUGUGUUAUGCUGAAUUUCAUUAUGAAAUGUAUGCUUUGUGGUUAAUUUCAAAUAAUAUGUAAAUUAUGUGAGCUACUUGUUAAAUAUAAUUGUUACCGAGUAUUGAUUUCGGCAUUCUACGGAAGAUGGCAAGGAUAAGUGUUCGAGGAAAAUCCCGUUUGAACCUUAGGAAUAGAUUAGGAUACAAGUGACAUGUCACUAGGAUGGUUGAGCAUCCGAACUCGUUGAGUUGAGUCCGAGUUCACUUAUGGAUGCGAAUGUCCGAACUCGUUGAGUUGAGUCCGAGUUCGUGAGAUGUAACUAGGCAUCCGAACUCGUUGAGUUGAGUCCGAGUUCACUUAUGGAUGCGAACGCCCGAGCUCGUUGAGUUGAGUCCGAGUUCGCUUAUGGGCGGGUUACAUGAUGGCUUGAUUGAAUAUGUGGCACUUAUAUGCAAAUUAUCCAUGUAUCCGAAUUAUAUUCCGAUGUGUUCAACGGGUAAAGUUUUACUCAAAUGGAGGAAUACUCGAGAUGAAAAGAGACGUAUUGGUAAGUGAUGAGAAAUGGAUAUUUUGGACAGGUAUGUAUUUAACCCUCGGGUUGAGUGUUGAUUACAACCACGAUAAGGUAAUAAGAUGAUGAAAAAUGAUUAAAAAAUGUGAUAAGUGUGUUGAUGAUAUAUGCUAAUGUUGAUUAGUUUGAUUGUUUGUUAUGUUAUUUAUUAUUUACAUAUGAACUUACUAAGCAUUUAUGCUUACUCCCUCCUUCUUACUCAUUGUAGUUUUGGACAAGCCAGUUCAGGAGUCGAGAUAGGUCGAAGGCUCAGUCACACUAUCCGGAAGAUUUUUGGUAAAUGACUUGUAAAUUUAAGUAUGGCAUGUAUAGCAAUAUACUUAUUUUGUGUAAAUGAUCUUAUGAUAUAGUGACAGAAUGGUUGAGAAAAUAUUUGAUAAUGAUAAAUUAUGAAAAUGGUAAGUUUAGAUUAUGUUUGAUGUUAAGGAAAAUU
rnacentral:lncRNA from 1 species